CGCCAGGGGAUGCAAACCCUUCUGCCCCUUUUUGCGAUCCCUGAAGCUUACUGUUAGUGGUCGAGUUUUUCUGGAAGUGGGCUUCCGCGAUCGCGGGGACCAACGCCCUGAGCUCUUGUGCCCAAAGGGGAUCGCCAGGUUUUUUGAUGCGGAUCGAAAGGGACUGGCCCCGGAGCCUACAACCUGACGCAGGUGGGACUUGGGGAAAUGUCGAGAAACCUAGGUCUGGGACUUGAAUUGGCUUCCAGGGCAAACAUUCUUGUUCAGAAGAAACACACUGCAAAAAUCGGGAGGUGACGGGCAGAUGAAGUGUCGGCGCUUCGCCUCGGGACUCCAGUGCAACCUACGGGGCUUUUGGAAAGGAGGAAGUCGAUGACUCUGCAAGGACUCCUCUGACCCAGGAGCAGAUGGCGCUCGUCUGGGCACUCCCCAGGAGAAAAGGUGCAUCGGGAAGCAGCCUGGCUUGUGGAUGGUGGACAAGGUGGAGGAGAGAGUAUUCCUUGGCAGCAGUAUUAUGAACAAAUGCAGGGCUGAGAAACAGCAUGGUGGCCUUGACUAAGUUUAUGGACAGCAGAUAAGGAAACAGCUGAAUUUAUGUCACUUGCCCAAUGUCACACAACUAGCAAGACUGACUCCUUGAAGCUCAUCACAUGCUAGAGUGCAGUGGCGCGAUCUCAGCUCACUGAAACCUCUGCCUCCCGGGUUCAAGUGAUUCUCCUGCCUCCGCCACGCGAUGCCUCUUCAUGGGUGGUGGAUGAAGAAACUGAACAGGGCCAUGAUCCUUAUCUGUAAUUUCCCGGCUACCACACUGCUUUGGUGGUCUUCCCUCGUCUCUUCCUGGGUAGAAACAGAACUACCUGGAGAUCCCAGUGUUCUUGUCAGUGCACUUUUCAUGGACUGCAGUGGUAAGACGAUGUGUUGGAUGCCCAAACACAAACCAAGUAAGUCCUGGAUUUAAAAAGGAAGGGCUAAAUGUCAUUACUAACCUGAGCCUCAGUGCUCCCUCCCGUCAUUUCCCUCACAACUACUUCUUCCUGCUGACAUCCACCAAACUUUACUAUGUGACCUUUAGAACUGGGGGACUCUGAAACCAGAGAGAGCCCUGAAAAGAACUUAUACCUCUCUCUCUCUCUCUUUAGCCUACUUCAUACUGGGUGGAAUUUUUAUGAUUAGCGCCCUUCUCCUCUCAUUCUGCUUGAACUUUUUGUUGCUGACCUUCCCUCAGUUAUUCCCUGAGACCCAGAAACAGUAUAUUUUCUGUGCAUCCAUCUGCAUUGUCACAGGAGCCCUCUGCCUUCGCAAUUCCCGGUGCUGUGGAGCUGUCAGAGUUUUAACAUCUCAACCAAGCCACAUGGAUACUAUUUCCUCAGAAAAGACAAAAUUGAUCCAAGCAGAAGAGUGAACUUACCGAAGAGGACUCUCUACCCAUAACUGGGGAUGCCUCAGCCACUCACACUUACUCCAAGAUUAGUGUCACUGAUUGUGGAAAGAGUUGACUUCUUCCCCUGGUCUUGCUCAUUUUUCUAGAGCCCAGGACAAUAAAUGUGUUUUAUGGCAGAGAAAAGUGAAGACGGGUGGAAUUGUGUGUGUUGAGAGAGAAGCAGAUAGGCAAUCUUAUGCUUUGGCUCCUAGAUUAUGGAGGUGCCUCUUUUCUAUCAUCUCCAUAAAUCCUACCCUUACUGCGCUUCCUAUUCUGCAGGGGUAUUUUGUUGUCCGUAAGAGAACUCCUCCUCUAUCUGUAAAGUUUAGGUUUUGAUAAAAAAUCCUUUUCCCUCCAGAAGCGUCUACUAAAAAUACAAAAAAAUUAGCCGGGUGUGGUGGCAUGCACCUGUAGUCCCAGUUACUCAGGAGACUGAGGCAGGAGAAUCGCUUGAAACUGGGAGGCGGAGGUCGCAGUGAGCCGAGAUCACGCCACCACACUCCAGCCUGGGUGAGAGUGAUACUCCAUCUCAAAAAACAAAUGAACAAUAAAAAAACAAACAAAAAAGAAAUAAAUGUCUAGGGCUAGGUGCCAUGGCUCAUGCCUAUAAUCCCAGCACUUAGGGAGACAUAGGUGGGCAGAUAACUUGAGGUCGGGAUUUCGAGACCAGCUGGACAACAUGUCAAAACCCUGUCUCUAUUACAAAUACAAAAAUUAGCCAGGUUUGGUGGCCCACACCCAUUGGGAGGCUAAGGCAUGAAAGUCAUUUGAACCUGUGGAACCUGGGAGGUGGAGGUUGCAGGGAGCCAAGAUCAUGCCACUGCAGGUGAGCCUGGAUGACAGAGCAAGACUCUGUCUCAAAAAAAAAAAAAAAGAGAGAGAGAAAGAAAUAAGUGUCUAGAAUAUUUUAAAGGCUAUGGAAAUAAAGCAGGAAUAUUUUCAUGAAAGGCAGCUUAUAGCGGAUGAGGAUGGUUUUCUCUUUAGGGUAAAGGAACUAAUAUUUAUUAAGCACUUACUAUUUAUCAGGCAGUAUGUGACAUACAAUGUAUGUGGGAGUGUGUGUGUGUCUUUCCUCACAAUUAUUUUAUAGAGUAGGGGUUAGUACAAUGAAGAUGUUGUAGCUUAGAGAGAGGAAGUGGCAAAACCAGAAUUGGAAAACAAGACUGUUGGGCUCCAAGGUCCAUGCACUUUUCCCCUUUAAAGGUCUUAGGUAAAGAGUAGACCCAUUUGGAUAGGCCCAAACUAACAGUCUAUCUCCAGAGUCUUUGUCCUAAAUUCUUUACCCCACUGCCUUCUGAGAGGAAGUUCAUCUUUUUACCAGGGAGUAGCCACCUUCAGAAGAAUUCUCCUGUCUAUAUAACCAAAUUAAUAGAAUCCUGGUAAAUCAACUGGAAUGUUAACUGUUCUGAUUUUCAACUGUUUUUACCUUCAUCAUUAAUACUGAAUAUGGACUGUAGGUUGGAUAACUGCUGUUCAAGGUAAGGAACUCUGAGCAGCAGCCUUGAGCUACCAAGGCAUUAAAUAGGAUUUUUGCUUAAAAAUCCUAUAUUUUGCUUAAAAAUAUUAAAAAUAUGACUGAGUAUAUGUAUAUAUUCCCCCCCACAUUCCAAAGAUAAACACUGUUAAGCAUGUUAAGCACAUUUUACUGUAUAUAUAUGGGUGGCAUAUGUGUGUGUGUGUGUAUACAUAUAUACACAUACACUUCUAGACAUUUAUAUACAUGUGUUGUGUGUAUAUGUUGUGUAUGUUUUUAAAAAGGGAUUGUCUUUGGCUGGGCACAGUGGCUCAUGCCUGUAAUCCCAGCACUCUGGGAGGCUGAGGCAGGAGGAUUCCUUGAGCUCAGGUUUCAAGAGCAGCCUGGCCAACAUGGCAAAACCCCAUCUCUACUAAAAAUACAAAAAUUUAAAAAAAGAAAUUUAUCUGGAUGUGGUGGCGCCGCCUGUAAUCUCAGCUACUUGGGAGGCUGAGGCAGGAGAAUCGCUUGAAGGUGGGAGGCAGAGGUUGCAGUAAGCUGAGAUUGCUCCACUGCAUUCCAGCCUGGGUGACAGAGUGAGACCCCAUCUCAAAAAAAAAGUUGGGGCAGGGGGGGAAUUGCUAUCCUAUUAAAAAUUUUUGAUCUUUUUUUUAAAAAACUUAAUGCUAUUUCUUGAACACCUUUACUUAAAGAAAAUAGAUAGCUAAAUAUUGCAGUAUGAAGAAAAAGGUCAAUAAAUAUUUGUUGAAUUAAUGUAACAUUUCCUUUGAUCACCAGCUGCUUCUAAUUCCCUACUUCAGGUAUUGUUGAAUACUACAUUGCUUUAGGCAAAAAGUGUUUCAUUUCUCAUUGGAUCAAAAACUAUUAAGGAUGUCAUUUUCUCUUCUUCCUUUGAGUUCCAAUAAAUCUACAUUUUUUCUUGUUCCCUUGUUUAGAGGUGCAAUGGAAAAGAAGUUUGCAGAUUGUACUCCUGCCUGGUUGGAUAAACUCAUUUGAAAAUAAGCUGUUUUGUGCAGAUGCAAAUUUAAACAUGCUAUUUGUAACUAAUCACUGAUAAAAUAGAGAUUUCCAAAAUAUAUUGAGAAAAAGAGCUGCAGAAUAAUUAGUAAAUAUUUUACCUUUUAUGUAAAAAGUUAGGUAAAAUAAGACUGUGUUCAUAUUUGCAAGUUUCAUAAAAUCAGGAAGAAUGCAUUUAAAAAUUAAGUAAGCCAGGAGGGAUGGCUCAUGCCAGUAAUCCUUGCACUUUUGGUGACUGAGGUGGGAGGAUCACUUGAGCCCAGGAGUUUAAGGCCAGCCUGUGCAACAUAGAUCUCAUCUCUACAAAAAAAUUAAAAAAAUAGCUAGAUGUGGUGGCAUAUACCUAUAGUUCCAGCUACUCAGGAGGCUGAGAUGGGAGGAUCACUUGAGCCUAGGAGGCUGAACCUGCAGUGAGUCAUGAUUGCACCACUGCAUUCUAGCUUGGGUGACACAGUGAGACCCUGUCUCAAAAUAAACAAAACAAAACAAAAAAGAGAAGAAAAACUAUGGUAGAAGUGGUAGGGGGAAUUGAGGGAAUGGGGGAAAGGAGAGGCCAAAGACUUUUUCUAUGCCUUUUAAUACUUUCUCAUUUUUGAACCAUCUGAAUAUAUAUGAAUUGGGCAAAAAAAAUUUAAGCAAAAAAUAUUGCAUCUGUUUCUUUCAUUGUAACUAUGCUAAGUUUGGUGAAAAUUGUUCUUUAUUUUUAAAUUUUGUUUUCUCUUACACUAAACUAUUGUGAUGGUUAAUUUUAUGUGUUAAUUAUACUGGGCCAUGAUAUGCCCAGAUAUUUGGUCAAUCAAUAUUCUGGGUGUUCUGUUAGUGUAUUUUUGGAUGAGUUUGACUUAUUAAUAUUAUUGUUAAUAUUAUUUUUUAGACAGGGUCUCUCUCUCUGUCACCCAGGCUGGAGUGCAGUGGUACAAUCUUGGCUCACUGCAGCCUCGACCUCCUGGGCUCAAGUGAUCUUCUCACCUCAGCCUCCUGAGUAGCUGGGACUACAGGCAUGUGCUACCACACCUGGCCAAUUUUUCUAUUUUUUGUAGAGACAGGGUUUCACCAUGUUGCCCAAGCAGGUCUUGAACUCCUGGUCUCAAGCAAUCCCUCUACCUCUACUUUCCAAAGUGCUGGAAUUACAGGUGUAAGCCACCAUGCCUGGCUGAGUUUAACAUUUUUAAAUUUAAAUUUAAAUUUUUAUUUUUAUUUUUUUGAGAUGGAGUUUCACUCUUGUCGCCCUGGCUGGAGUACAAUGGUGCAAUCUCGGCUCACCACAACAUCUGCCUCCGGGUUCAAGCGAUUCUCCUGCCUCAGCCUCCCAAGUAGCUGGGAUUACAGGCACCUGCCACCAUGCCCAGUUAAUUUUUGUAUUUUUAGUGGAGAUUGGGUUUCACCAUGUUGGCUAGGCUGGUCUCGAACUCCUGACCUCAGGUGAUCCACCUGCCUCAGCCUCCCAAAGUGUUGGGAUUACAAACAUAAGCCACCACGCCCGGCCUUAAAUUUUUAUUUAUAUUUUGAGGGGGUCUCAUUGUGUUGCCCAGACUGGAGUGCAAUGGCACGAUCAUGGCUCACUGCAAUCUCCACCUCCUAAGCUUGAUUCUCCUGCCUCUGCCUCCUGAGUAGCUGGAACCACAGGUCUGCACCACCAUACCAGGCUAAUUUUUUGUAUUUUUGGUAGAGAAGGGGUUUCACCAUAGUGCUCAGGCUGGUCUCUAACUUGUGAGCUCAAGUGAUCCGCCCACCUCGGCCUCCCAAAGUGCUGAGAUUACAGGUGUGACCCAUGGCACCUAGCCGAGUUUAACUCUUAAAUAAAUAAACUGUGCCAGGCAUGGUGGCUUGUACCUGUAAUCCCAGCAAUUCAGGACAUGGAGGUGGGAGAAUUGCUUGAACCCAGGAGUUUGAGACCAGCAUGGACAACAUAGUGAGACCUUGUCUCUAAAAAUAUAAAAUUUUAAUUAAAAAAAAAACUGAAUAAAGCAAAUUACCCUCCCCAAUGUGGGUGGGCCUCAUCCCGUCAGUUGCAAGCCUGACUAGAACAAAAGCCUGGCCUCCCAGGAAGAAGAGGGAAUUCCUCCUGCCCGACUGUUUUUUAGCUGGGACAUUGGUUUUAUUUCUGCCUUUGAACUCAACCUGAAACACUGGCCGUUCCUGGAUUUUGAGCCUGCUGGCCUUCAAACUGGAUCUAUACCACUGGCUCUCCUGGGUCUCCAGCUUCCUGACUGCAGAUCUUGGGAUUUGUUGGUCUCAUAAAUAUUAUAUAUGUAUAUGUAAAAUAUUGAUUCUGUUUCUCUUUAAAAAGAAAAGACACCUGGCCAGGCACGGUGGCUCACACCUGUAAUCCCAGCACUUUGGGAGGCUGAGGCGGGUGCAUCACCUGAGGUCGGGAGUUUGAGACCAGACUGACCAACAUGGGAAAACCCUGUCUCUACUAAAAAUACAAAAUUAGCCGAGUAUGGUGGCACACACCUGUAAUCCCAGCAACUGGAGAGGCUGAGGCAGGAGAAUGGCUUGAACCUGGGAGGUGGAGCUUACAGUGAGCCACCGAGAAAGCGUCAUUGCACUCCAGCCUGGGCAACAAGAGCAAAUCUCCAUCUCAAAGAAAAGACAAGACAAGACACCUUUGAGGUCCUCUUCUGUUCCUCUGCACCAGAAAGCUUGGGAGAGUGGGGACAUAUUUUUCCCCCAUUGCUGCAUUCCUAGUAACUACAUGUGUGCUGCAAAAAAAAAAAAAAAUAGUUUAAGGGAUGAAUUGGUAGCUAUUGUUAUAUGUAAAUGUGAAAUUAAUAUCUACAAAUACAUAUCUGUAUUUAUAAAUUGUACUUACGUAGAGAAACAAAAAAAUAAAAAUAAUUGUAAUUACAUACU